AUGGGCCUGCUGGCUCUGGUGGGCUGGUGCCAUAGUCCCGCCCUUGCCAUUGCAGGCAGCUGUUCUCCUUGGAUACCCCACACCGCUGUCCCCCAUCCGCCUCUGCAUCCUUGUAGGUCUCCAAACGCAGUCUGGAUCCUCCCACCUCUGAACUCUGCCUCCAGUGCUCCUUCAUCUGAGGUGCCCUAUUUAAGCCCCCAACUGUCUUUAAUGCUUGACCCAAAUGCACACUCUCUGCAAAAUCCUACAAGACAUCUCCAGUCAGAAACAACAGAUCCUGCUUCUGAUUUCAGACAGAGAUCACAAGUAGGCAGAGAGGUACGCAGAGAGAAGCGAGGGGGAGGAGGCUCCCCGCUGAGCAGAAUGCCCGAUAUGGGCUCAAUUCCAGGACCCUUAUAUCAUGACCUGAGCCGAAGGCAGAGGCUUAACCCACUGAGCCACCGAAGCGCCCCUUUUCUUGUUGUUUUAUUUUGGUUUGUUUGAUUUUUAAUACAUCAUGAUAAUGCUAAUGUCACAUGAUUAUACUGUCAGAUAAAACUACUAAGUAUUUUAGGACCUGUUCA
rnacentral:lncRNA from 1 species